UACGUAGGGCGCAAGCGUGUCCGGAAUUAUUGGGCGUAAAGAGCUCGUAGGCGGCCUGUUACGUCUGCUGUGAAAUCCCGGGGCUUAACCCCGGGCGUGCAGUGGAUACGGGCAGGCUGGAGGCAGGCAGGGGAGAACGGAAUUCCCGGUGUAGCGGUGAAAUGCGCAGAUAUCGGGAGAACACCGUGGCGAAGGCGGUCACUCGU
rnacentral:rRNA from 1 species